rnacentral:rRNA from 1 species
ACUGCGAAUGGCUCAUUAAAUCAGUUAUCGUUUAUUUGAUAGUUCUCACUACUUGGAUAACCGUGGUAAUUCUAGAGCUAAUACAUGCAAAAAACCUCGAUGGAUAAUCGAGGUGUAUUUAUUAGAUAAAAAACCAACGCCUUCGGGCUCUUCGGUGAUUCAUAAUAACUUAGCGUAGCGCAUGACCUUGUGUCGGCGCAAGAUCAUUCAAAUAUCUGCCCUAUCAAGUUUCGAUGUGAGGGUAGUGUCCUCACAUGCUUUUGACGGGUAACGGGGAAUUAGGGUUCGACUCCGGAGAGGGAGCCUGAGAAACGGCUACCACAUCCAAGGAAGGCAGCAGGCGCGCAAAUUACCCAAUCCCGACACGGGGAGGUAGUGACAAGAAAUACCGAUUCAGGGCCUUUUUAGGUCUUGUCAUUGGAAUGAGUACAAUUUAAACCCAUUAACGAGGAACAACUGGAGGGCAAGUCUGGUGCCAGCAGCCGCGGUAAUUCCAGCUCCGGUAGCGUAUAUUAAAAUUGUUGCAGUUAAAAAGCUCGUAGUUGAACUUUGGUUUUGACUGACUGGUCCGCCUCAUCGCGUGUACUGGUUCGGUCGGGACUUUCCCCUUGGGGAACCCCAUGCCCUUUACUGGGCGUGGCGGGGAACCAGGACUUUUACUUUGAAAAAAUUAGAGUGUUCAAAGCAGGCCUUUGCUCGGAUACAUUAGCAUGGAAUAAUAGAAUAGGACGAGUGGUUCUAUUUUGUUGGUUUCUAGAACCACCGUAAUGAUUAAUAGGGAUAGUUGGGGGCAUCAGUAUUCAAUUGUCAGAGGUGAAAUUCUUGGAUUUAUUGAAGACUAACUACUGCGAAAGCAUUUGCCAAGGAUGUUUUCAUUAAUCAGGAACGAAAGUUAGGGGAUCCAAGACGAUCAGAUACCGUCGUAGUCUUAACCGUAAACUAUGCCGACUAGGGAUCGGGUGGUGUUUUUUUAUGACUCACUCGGCACCUUACGAGAAAUCAAAGUGCUUGGGUUCUGGGGGGAGUAUGGUCGCAAGGCUGAAA